AGCGAACGCUGGCGGCAUGCCUAACACAUGCAAGUCGAACGAACCUUUCGGGGUUAGUGGCGGACGGGUGAGUAACACGUGGGAACGUGCCUUUAGGUUCGGAAUAACUCAGGGAAACUUGUGCUAAUACCGGAUGUGCUCUUCGGGGGAAAGAUUAAUCGCCUUUAGAUCGGCCCGCGUCUGAUUAGCUAGUUGGUUGAGGUAAUGGCUCACCAAGGCGACGAUCAGUAGCUGGUCUGUGAGGAUGAUCAGCCACAUUGGGACUGAGACACGGCCCAAACUCCUACGGGAGGCAGCAGUGGGGAAUCUUGCGCAAUGGGCGAAAGCCUGACGCAGCCAUGCCGCGUGAAUGAUGAAGGUCUUAGGAUUGUAAAAUUCUUUUACCGGGGACGAUAAUGACGGUACCCGGAGAAGAAGCCCCGGCUAACUUCGUG
rnacentral:rRNA from 1 species